GUUGAACUACAAAAAACUCAUAUAAAUAGAAUUAAUUUGAUAACUCCUAGACACUUCAUGGGUACACAGUAAUUUGUAAGAAAUUGUAGUAAACCGUGUUUGAUCUAAAUAGCAGGAUGAAGGCUUUUGCUUUUUUAGUUGUUUUUCUCGCCGUAGCAGUUACAGAAACCAAUGCUAAUGAUGCAUGUAGUACAUGCAAACCACCGGAAGCUGGUGCUGCGAGUUCUGAUUGCAAGAAGAUAAGAAAAUACAUUGAUUGUGUGAUAACCGCUCGAUGUCCAGGUCUAGCUGAGAUAAAGCUGAAAUUUGGUUAUGAGAGCUGUAGCAGUGGUGCUGGUCGAGCCAUAUCAUGGAUGUUGCCAUUGGUUAUGUUAGUAAUGUCAAAGACGUUCUCUGGUUAUUAAACAACAAGACGAAGAAAAAGAAGUACCCAUAUCUAUCAAUCUACAGCGUAUUAAUGUCCAUCCGCAUUAGCAUAUGAGAAAUAUGUAAAAAUACCAAUAAAAUAUUAUAUACCAGAACAAAUUUAAACCUCUUCUAAUUAACUUUAAUAUGUUCCAUAGAAUAAAUACAGUUAGUAAUCUGCUUUAAUUUCAAAGGUUCUUGAACCUAUAUAUGUAGCGUUAACCGAAUAAACAUAAUAUUAUAAUGUAGAUAUAUAUAUAUGUCACUUUAAGUAAAUAAAGAUAUAAUCAGUUUUAGUAAAUAAGCACAAUUAAACGAU